GCACGCAGGCGGUUUGUUAAGUCAGAUGUGAAAUCCCCGGGCUCAACCUGGGAACUGCAUCUGAUACUGGCAAGCUUGAGUCUCGUAGAGGGGGGUAGAAUUCCAGGUGUAGCGGUGAAAUGCGUAGAGAUCUGGAGGAAUACCGGUGGCGAAGGCGGCCCCCUGGACGAAGACUGACGCUCAGGUGCGAAAGCGUGGGGAGCAAACAGGAUUAGAUACCCUGGUAGUCCACGCCGUAAACGAUGUCGACUUGGAGGUUGUGCCCUUGAGGCGUGGCUUCCGGAGCUAACGCGUUAAGUCGACCGCCUGGGGAGUACGGCCGCAAGGUUAAAACUCAAAUGAAUUGACGGGGGCCCGCACAAGCGGUGGAGCAUGUGGUUUAAUUCGAUGCAACGCGAAGAACC
rnacentral:rRNA from 1 species